UACGUAGGGGGCAAGCGUUGUCCGGAAUUAUUGGGCGUAAAGCGCGCGCAGGCGGCUAUUUAAGUCUGGUGUUUAAACCUUGGGCUCAACCUGGGGUCGCACUGGAAACUGGAUGGCUCGAGUACAGAAGAGGAAAGUGGAAUUCCACGUGUAGCGGUGAAAUGCGUAGAGAUGUGGAGGAACACCAGUGGCGAAGGCGACUUUCUGGGCUGUAACUGACGCUGAGGCGCGAAAGCGUGGGGAGCAAACAGG
rnacentral:rRNA from 1 species